AUUCUAGGCCACCUAAACUCUUCUCCUGGAAUGAUCCAAAGCCUUACAGCGGGAUUCCCCAUCGGCCCAGCUCAUGGUGCCCCGUCUGGCUCCAUGUGAGGUUGGCUUCACUUUGCAUAAGGGGAAGCACUCGAGCUGCAGGACUGAUAAGAUCACUUCGGGGGAGAGCCAGCAGAAAGACCACCACUGGCCGGCCCUGCCCUGAUGAAACACCAGCCCCGAGUGGGGGCUGGGGGCAGAGGAGCUCACAGAGCAGCA